AUCACCUUGGGUCAGGGCGCCAAGAUGGCGUCCUCCGCCUCCGCUCGCACUCCGGCGGGGAAGCGAGUGGUGAAUCAGGACGAACUGCGGCGCUUGAUGAAGGAGAAGCAGCGUCUGAGCACCAACCGGAAACGGAUAGAAUCUCCAUUUGCGAAGUACAACCGUUUGGGGCAGCUGAGCUGUGCCCUGUGCAACACCCCGGUGAAGAGCGAGCUCCUGUGGCAGACUCACGUCCUGGGAAAGCAGCACCGGGAGAAAGUGGCCGAGCUGAAAGGCGCGAAGGAAGCCACCCAGGGUCCGUCCGCCAGCUCAGUGCCUCAGUCAGCCAAGAGGAAGGUGUCGGAGGCGGACGGUCAAGAUGCCAAAAGACCCAAGGCCUCCCCGCUGCCCCAGGUACAGCCCUCCACAUCCGCUUUGUCCACCAACUUUGACAAAGCAGGGAAGGAGUCCACUAGAGCGACCCUCAUUAAGGUUUCAGGACUCGGUUUACUCCCUGAUUAUGAAGAUGAGGAAGAAGAGGAGGAGGAGGAGGAGGAGGGAGGAGAAGGGAAAAGGGGAGACGCCGGCAAGCCGCCGCCCGAUGCACAGGGCAAGGAACACUCGCUUUCCUCCUCGAGGGAGGCAACAAGUAGUAUGCUGCCAAGCGGCUUCUCGGAUACAAAUCCUCCCAAGGCCCCUUUAAUUCCUCAUUCAGGGUCCAUUGAGAAAGCAGAAAUACAUGAAAAAGUAGUGGAAAGGAGAGAAAACACAGCGGAAGCAUUACCCGAAGGCUUUUUUGAUGACCCUGAAAUAGACGCUAGGGUUCGAAAGGUUGAUGCCCCAAAGGAUCAGAUGGACAAAGAGUGGGACGAAUUUCAAAAGGCCAUGAGACAGGUCAAUACCAUUUCCGAAGCCAUAGUUGCUGAAGAGGAUGAGGAGGGACGGUUGGACCGGCAAAUUGGGGAGAUCGAUGAGCAGAUAGAAUGUUACCGUCGGGUGGAAAAGCUUCGGAAUCGCCAGGAUGAAAUUAAAAAUAAGCUUAAAGAGGUUCUGACUAUAAAAGAACUGCAGAAAAAGGAAGAGGAGAAUGUUGACAGCGAUGAUGAGGGAGAACUACAAGAUUUGUUGUCUCAGGAUUGGAGGGUAAAAGGGGCUUUAUUAUAGGGUUUCAAAGACCCAAGAUUUCUACACCCUCUACAGUGGUACCAAAAGUGCUGUCUCUGGAUAUGAUCUUGGUUACUUCAUGCCUAACUGGGUUGUUAAGAUACAAUGAACCUGUGAAGAUAGCACUUUGGAAAGUUGGUGUAAAAUAUUUUUGAGCACGUCUCGAUUUGGACCGGCCAUGCUUCAAGAGCCUGAUAGCCACAUGUGGCUAGCAAUGACAGCAGCCAACAGCACAGGGCCUGGGAAAAAGGUAUAGUCAAGGGGAUUCUCAAAACAAUGUAGUAAAUGCAGUGAUAGAAAUCAGGAUUCCUCAACUGCCCGUUAAAAUUUGAGCCUGCAGUGACCUUCCAAACCCCAAAACCAUGCUCAUUCUGCAGCACACUAAAGACUGCCCCACUCCAAACAGUGGGAUUGUGGUUGUCCUCAACCAAUCAAAUAUGUCCAAACAAAACUCAUCCUUUUACCCCAAAUACCUACUUCUCCCUGUUCAUUUUGUAUCUCAGUUGAUGGCACCAUUAUCUCCUGCUCACUCAAGUCAUUCUCAUUUCAUCUUUAGGUAAAUGAGCAUUGUAUCCAAGUAUUUAUUUAUCCAAUCCAAGUAUUUAUUUUAGGGGCGUCUGGCUGGCUCAGCCAGUAGAGCAUGCAACUCUGGAUCUCAGGGUUGUGAGCUCCAGCCCCACGUCAGGUGUAGAGAUUAUGUAAAAGU